UACGAAGGGGGCGAGCGUUGUUCGGAUUUACUGGGCGUAAAGGGCGCGCAGGCGGCUCAUUUUGUCAGGCGUGAAAGCCCCGGGCUUAACCUGGGAACUGCGUUUGAUACGGAUGGGCUAGAGUUCGGGAGAGGAGAGUGGAAUUCCCAGUGUAGAGGUGAAAUUCGUAGAUAUUGGGAAGAACACCGGUGGCGAAGGCGGCUCUCUGGACCGAUACUGACGCUGAGGCGCGAAAAGCGUGGGGAGCAAACAGGG
rnacentral:rRNA from 1 species